rnacentral:misc_RNA from 1 species
AACGCACAUUGCGCCCCUUGGUAUUCCGAGGGGCAUGCCUGUUCGAGCGUCAUUAUGACCACUCCCGCAAGGGGUCUUGGGGCUCGCCGUCUUGGCGUCUCUUAAAAUCAGUGGCGGUGCCAUCGUGCUCUAAGCGUAGUAAUUCUUCUCGCUAUAGGGUUAGGGUGGAUGCUUGCCAACAACCUCAAUCUUCUUAGGUUGACCUCGGAUCAGGUAGGGAUACCCGCUGAACUUAA